GUUCAGUGUCCCAUUUGG
rnacentral:snRNA from 1 species